AUUAAAGACACUGAGAUGUGUGUUUUUAGGAAGGAGGAGAAGAUUCCAGACUUUCGUUCUGGUGAAGACAAAAGCAGGACGCUGGGACGGAUGUUGAAAAGACGCGUCUAACAGGGAAUAAAUAAAGAAAAUAAAAUGUGUCAAAUGUUCUGGGAUUUUAGUUUUCAUGUAAAUUAGCUAUUUUUUAACCUAAUGACCUGGGAGACCGUGUCCACGUUCUUAUGUUCUUGUCCUGCUUCUGAACCUUCUUCUUCAGGUAGAGCUCCAGCUAACCCUGAAGAACUGAAUCUUCACUGCCUGUUGGUCUUUGGUCCAAAUGUCCUCUUGUUCGCUGCCUUUGUGUUGUGGGGCCUGACUGAAGGUAACGGACGAAUCCUGAUCAGAUCCUGUCUUCACGACCCCAUCUGCCGUUCUUCACCUCCAUCUUCUCCUGCAGGGUUUCCAGCUGAGGUGGUCUCCUGCUCUGCUCUAGUUCUCAGUCGGUUCGUCCUGCUGUUUACUGUUGCUCUGUAUGUAGAGCAGCUUCCUGCAUUUCUGCAGAAUCUGGUCAAAAAAAGCUUCAACUUUGAAAAUUCCAUUGUUACAACCGUACUUUUAAUAGAUAUUUUCAGAGAUAUUUGGAGGACAGACAAAGGAAAUACAGCAGCACUCACCUUUACUGGCAUCAUGCUGGGAUUUAUGUUAAAUAUGAACGUGAAAGUAUUUUUCUGGGGUACGUAUUUUUAUUAAGAUACAGUAUAUUAUAAAUGUUAAAAUAUGAUUUAAUAAAUACAGAUACUGU
ensembl:lncRNA